CCUACGGGAGGCAGCAGUAGGGAAUCUUUCACAAUGGGCGAAAGCCUGAUGGAGCAACGCCGCGUGCAGGAUGACGGCCCUCGGGUUGUAAACCGCCUUUAUAAGCGAGAAAUAUGAUGGUAACUUAUGAAUAAGGAUCGGCGAACUACGUGCCAGCAGCCGCGGUCAUACGUAGGAUCCGAGCAUUAUCCGGAGUGACUGGGUGUAAAGAGUUGCGUAGGUGGCAGAAUAAGUAGCUAGUGAAAUCUGGUGGCUCAACCAUUCAGACUAUUAGCUAAACUGUUAAGCUCGAGACCGUUAGAGGUAAGUGGAAUUUCUGGUGUAGGGGUGAAAUCCGUAGAUAUUAGAAGGAACACCAAUAGCGAAGGCAGGUUGCUGGGACGGUUCUGACACUAAGGCACGAAAGCGUAGGGAGCAAACAGGAUUAGAUACCCGGGUAGUC
rnacentral:rRNA from 1 species